AUAGUUGUCGUGAUUUACUGCAUUAGGAACUGAUUGGUCCAAAAACCUCCAAUCAUAUCCUUGUGCAUUAUAUUUCGGGAACGACUCACUUCAAAGUUAAACA
rnacentral:pre_miRNA from 1 species